GACGAACGCUGGCGGCGUGCUUAACACAUGCAAGUCGAACGGAAAGGCCCUGCUUUUGUGGGGUGCUCGAGUGGCGAACGGGUGAGUAACACGUGAGUAACCUGCCCUUGACUUUGGGAUAACUUCAGGAAACUGGGGCUAAUAUCGGAUAGGAGCUCCUGCUGCAUGGUGGGGGUUGGAAAGUUUCGGCGGUUGGGGAUGGACUCGCGGCUUAUCAGCUUGUUGGUGGGGUAGUGGCUUACCAAGGCUUUGACGGGUAGCCGGCCUGUGAGGGUGACCGGCCACAUUGGGACUGAGAUACGGCCCAGACUCCUACGGGAGGCAGCAGUGGGGAAUAUUGCACAAUGGGCGGAAGCCUGAUGCAGCAACGCCGCGUGCGGGAUGACGGCCUUCGGGUUGUAAACCGCUUUCGCCUGUGACGAAGCGUGAGUGACGGUAAUGGGUAAAGAAGCACCGGCUAACUACGUG
rnacentral:rRNA from 1 species